rnacentral:lncRNA from 1 species
CUCUCUCUCCUCUCUCUUGCUAAUGGAACAUGCCCUAAUUCCCACCUCUUCGUCACCACCGUCCGAUCAUGAUCAUGAUCCUGAUCCGUCCGAUCAUGAUCAUGAUCAUGAUCAUGAACCCGAUUACUCACCGGUUGGAUCUCCGGAACUUGCUGAAUCUUACUUCCCCCAGGCGCCCGAUCUACCUCAGGCUGCUGUGCUAUCUGAUGAUCUUCGGAACAAGAUCAUUAAACAGG